UUCUCUCAAGCCUAUCAUUUCUCGGGGAAUUCUUCGGUGAUAGUUUGCUAUCAACUAUUUCAGGAAUUACAUUUGGAAUAUCACUUAAUAAACGCGAUUGUUCUGAUGCAGUCUGAAGCUUCAGUUUUCGCUCUAUGUACUCAGCAAGUGAUAUUCUCUCCUCCGCCCCUUUUCGUUGGCCAUAUCAAUGCGAUUUUGUAACAGUGCCAACUCCCUCGGAAUCCACUGUCACAUAAUGCAAAGAGAGACAAAUAUCAGUAUGAUAGGUAUGACUGUACGAGAUUCUUUUAUAAUCUAAAAGAAUCAU